GAUGCAGUGCUAAGCCUCAUUCGCCAAGGUGCUUAAAAAGAAAAAACAGGUUUCGCCAGGGUUUAUCAUCCUGGCUAGGAACAAAAUGUAAUCUCUCUAAAGUAGGCUGUCUGCCUAAUGUUUGGGCGUCAUAUUUCUUCAUAAGGGGUUAACCCCUUUUGCAGGGAAUGGAAUCAUGCAAAGAGUGCCUCUCUCUGGGAUGGGAACUUUGCUUCCUGGGACAUUACACAACGGCCUGUCAGCAACACCUAGAAGAGGAACAUUUGCCAUCAAGCUUGCAAACCACCCCAUAGCAGUUUUAUAGAGGAAGAGGCAGAAUGGAAGCCAAAUGAUGUGGGUAAAUACCUCAUCAGGAUGCAGAUGAAACAUGAUCUGGGGUUUGUUUUAUUUGUAGGUGUGCUGGGACACAUCUCCCUGUUGUAUAUUUUGGCGUACAGAAAUAUUUCUGAUGGAAAUCUUUAAAAAAUUAAAUAAAUAAAAAACACACACAUGAAGAAGACCCAACCAAGGAGAAAGCUCAGCAAACAUACAUGGACAGGUAGAUAAUUCAGUGACACGUGGUUGUAAGUCGUAGUCAUUUUUGCUCCCUCUGUGUAUUAAAGAAAAUAUUUACAAA